rnacentral:rRNA from 1 species
AGGACGAACGCUGGCGGCGCGCCUAACACAUGCAAGUCGAACGAGCGAGAGAGAGCUUGCUUUCUCGAGCGAGUGGCGAACGGGUGAGUAACGCGUGAGGAACCUGCCUCAAAGAGGGGGACAACAGUUGGAAACGACUGCUAAUACCGCAUAAGCCCACGGCUCGGCAUCGAGCAGGGGGAAAGGAGCAAUCCGCUUUGAGAUGGACCCGCGUCUGAUUAGCUUGUUGGUGAGGUAACGGCCCACCAAGGCGACGAUCAGUAGCCGGCCUGAGAGGGUGAACGGCCACAUUGGGACUGAGACACGGCCCAAACUCCUACGGGAGGCAGCAGUGGGGAAUAUUGCACAAUGGGGGAAACCCUGAUGCAGCGACGCCGCGUGAGUGAUGAAGUAUUUCGGUAUGUAAAACUCUAUCAGCAGGGAAGAUAAUGACGGUACCUGACUAAGAAGCACCGGCUAAAUACGUG